UUAGGAAUUUUGCGCAAUGGGCGAAAGCCUGACGCAGCAACGCCGCGUGAGGGAAGACGGCUUUCGGGUUGUAAACCUCUUUUAGCAGGGACGAACACAAUGACGGUACCUGCAGAAAAAGCACCGGCUAACUACGUGCCAGCAGCCGCGGUAAUACGUAGGGUGCAAGCGUUAUUCGGAUUUAUUGGGCGUAAAGCGCAUGUAGGCGGUUCGGUAAGUCUGGUGUGAAAGCCCUCGACUCAAUCGAGGAAGUGCAUUGGAUACUGUCGGACUGGAGUACAGGAGGGGUGAGCGGAAUUCCAGGUGUAGAGGUGAAAUUCGUAGAGAUCGGGAGGAACAACAGCGGCGAAGGCGGCUCACUGGACUGUAACUGACGCUCAGAUGCGAUAGUGUGGGGAGCAAACAG
rnacentral:rRNA from 1 species